GGAGCUAGUUUGCAGCGAUCUGACAUUCACUUCCAAGUAGAAACCACGUGGUAUCUGACAGUCAUUUUUCACUUGGUUGGCUUUUAAAUGUUAUUAGAUAUGUUCUCCUUUUUUUUUUUUUCAUCUUUUCACUUCUUUUUCUUUCCUUUAUUGUUUUAUAUAUUUAAUUGUUUUUUUUAAUUUUGGCGAGACGUGAGGGGCCAGAUAGAAAAAGUGCUCUUGACUGCAAGUGCUUUGAAAGGGUUCUGUGGGCCAGGAAUUUAGAAAGAGCACAACGGAGAUGACUUGUCUCUGUUCUAGGAUAUCUGGUGUCUCAACUGAAGACUCAAGGCUGAGAGAAGAUGUUUUUAAGUUCCCAAAAUAAAUCGGGAUAUUCAGUGAACCACAAUAUCUGAAAGAUAAAGCAAGUGCUUACCUGUUUGCUUUGCCAUCUGCUCUGUUUUGGAUUGGCCCAGCAGCGCUCAGAAGGCGGACAGAGAGCAGCGGAGGCCGCCGUCCUGAGGCUGACUUGGGGCAAAGACGGUGGAACCAUCCCUACACCACAGCAGGAGGUUCGGAGGGACCAGCCGCAGCUGACCACGCAGCAAGAAGGUCGUCAAGUUCUACCGACCAUAAUGGCCCAGGUUGGGGGGGAAUAAAAUGAAGAGUGAGGAGGGUUUCCAGGGACAGUGAGUGGAGACCCGGGUCAGAAGAAACCGCCCAGUCCUUCAUCUUCUCUGCGCCUUCUUUACACCUCGUGACAGCGUUUACCUCCGAUCGCUUCUGGUCCUCAAAUGUGUGGGUUUCUUCCCCCAUCAAGCAGUUCUAUAACCCUGGCUGAGGUGUGUCACAAUCUAACUUCAUUCUGACACUAUCUGCAGGAGGUGACAUUAGAUCCCGCAGGCUCCGGGCUCAGUCUCACAAGAGGCUUCCUGCUUCAGGGGACAACUGCGAGUAGUAGGUCUCCAGGUUACCCACACUUGGCUACAAGUUGGAGGUUCAUGACCUCCUUCCCCUUGGAUUUUUUUUUUUUUAAUGUUCUAGAGAGGCUCGCAGAACUUAGGAAAUAUUUACUUAGGUUUACCAAUUUAUUAAAGGAUAUGAUAAAGUGUGCAGAUGAACAACUAGGUGGAGACAUACAGAGGAUGAGGUCUGGGAAGGGGGUUCCUGAAUACAGGAGCUUCUGUGCCCAGACAACUGCGGUACCUCACCCUCCUGCUGUCCAUGUGUUCACCAGCCUGGAAGUUCUCUGAAUCCUGGACUAUUGGGAUUUUUAUGGAGGUUUCCUCAUGUAGUUAUGACAGAUCAUUAACUCCAUUCUUCUCCCCUUUCUGAUGUGGGAACAGGGUGUGUGUGUGUGUGUGUGUGAUGGGACUGAAAAUGCCGAACUUGGAAUCAUGGCUUGGUCUUUCUGGUGAUCAGCUCCCAUCCAGGAGCCCACUCAGUAGCCUCCUUAGAAAAAGAGACGCUCCUAGUACUCUUGUCACUUAGCAGUUGGCAAGGGUCCUGGGAGCCCUGUGCCAGGAACCAGGGGUAGAGAUCAAUAUGUGUAUAUUAGCUGUUAUCGCCCAGGACCUUAGUAGAGGGAGGUGAAGGCGCCACACCGCUUUCCAUCUUCUCACCCAGUCUUUAAGAGCCUGGUGAAAACCGUUCUCUUAGCUGUUUGUGUAUGGGAAGUAAGAUGCUGCAGAAACAAAUUAACUAAAAUCCUUUGUUCUCAGCACAGAAGGGCCUUUGAAAUUUAAAAAAAAAAAUUUCAAGUUUGCAAAUAUUUACUAGUGGAAAAAAAAUAAGUAGGAGAAUACUUUGAGAUAUUAACUGUAGUUCUUUAUAGUCGGUGACACUUGUUCUAGAGAAGGCAGCUACAAUAUUUCACAUUAAUGUUUCAGGGAGUGGGUAUAACCAGUAUCAGAAAUAAGAGGGAAAAUAUUAAGCAACUUUUGAAAGGACCUUUGAAAUUCCUCAUUAGGGGAAAAGCCUUUUGGACUUUUCCAAAGCUAAAAAACAAUCAAUGGAAUUGUAAGAACAUGUGAUUGACAGAAUCAGUAUUUUCUGUGCUCUCCGAUUCAAUAAAAAUCUAAGUGGACUGAGAAGAGGAUAAGCAAGAACAUUCACCUAUAGUAGCCCCUGAGUUCUGUUGGUCUGCCCUUGCUUGAGAAAUGGGGAGGCGUAGACAGACCCGAUUUCACAGCAAGAUCCAUUUCCCCUUUCUCACUGCAUCCCAUGAUCCAGACCUCCCCCUUUGUUCCCAGAAUCGUGUGGACACAAAAGUCAGGGUGGGGGACAUGUGUAAGAUGAGAGAACCUGGAGCAGCCUCACAGUUUCCCACAACUCAUAGUGGUGACGAGCCUCUGGUGGCUUCCGUGCCUUCUGGGGACCAUAGAAGUACUAGAAGGAGCCCAGCCUGGAGAGUUCCUCCAGGGAGGAGCAUGAGAACAUGCCAGAGGCCACCUGCCUUGGUCAGCAUCUGAGGAUUCAAUGGAAUGUGCUCAUCUCAGAGGGUGCAGACAGGAAGAGCUCCUGAGUAAGGACCAAUACCCUCCCCUCGCUCCCCAGUACCAAAGCAUUAGGUAAGAACCCUAGAUUUAUGGCAACACCCCUGGAAUAAAGGAUAUGGUUUGACUUGGUUAAGAUUUUAUUUUAGUCACCUGAUCAAAUGGAGACUGAAAAUAUAAAAUUAAGUUGGAGUAUUGAAAAAUAAGCAAAUUCACAAUUCUUGUCCACCUGGGUUUUGUGGAGUAAGAUCCAUACUGAUUACAUUUUGUAUUUAUGUUAUUUGCGUGUCAGCUUCAAUAAAUUCUAUUAGAAUGU
rnacentral:lncRNA from 1 species